GGACGAACGCUGGCGGCGUGCUUAACACAUGCAAGUCGAGCGGUAAGGCCCUUUCGGGGGUACACGAGCGGCGAACGGGUGAGUAACACGUGGGUGACCUGCCCUCAGCUCUGGGAUAAGCCCGGGAAACUGGGUCUAAUACCGGAUAUGACUUCAUGACGCAUGUUGUGGAGUGGAAAGCCUUGUGCGGCUGAGGAUGGGCCCGCGGCCUAUCAGCUUGUUGGUGGGGUGANGGCCUACCAAGGCGACGACGGGUAGCCGGCCUGAGAGGGCGACCGGCCACACUGGGACUGAGAUACGGCCC
rnacentral:rRNA from 1 species